UUUAGUUCUAAAAUAAAAUCUCAAGAAAAACAAACAUAUUUUUAUAAAAUUUUAAAAUUAUUAUUUCAAAAAUAAUUUACAUGUAAAUAGAAAUACAUUUAGUGAAAACGUACAUAUAUCAAUAAUUGUCAAAAGAAUUAUGAAAAUGUGUGGAACAAUUUUCUCCCUCAUUUGUAAUUAUUUGUAAUUAUGAGAAAUCACAGCUAAAUACUUUUAUGUGAAACAUCCAAGUAGUAGCUGCUGAUUGACACAAGCUGAUGCCGAAAUAUGUAUUUGACGCUGUCGGUAUGCUACCAAUAAAGUCGCU